rnacentral:rRNA from 1 species
UGGGUGAUCUGCCCUGCACUUCGGGAUAAGCCUGGGAAACUGGGUCUAAUACCGGAUAUACCUCAUUGAUCUCCUGGUUGGUGGGGGAAAACUUUUGCGGUGUGGGAUGGACUCGCGGCCUAUCAGCUUGUUGGUGAGGUAACGGCUCACCAAGGCGACGACGGGUAGCUGGUCUGAGAGGAUGGCCAGCCACAUUGGGACUGAGACACGGCCCAGACUCC